rnacentral:tRNA from 1 species
AGCCGGUGGAGCUCACGAUGGUCGAGCACCGCACCUGUAAUGCGGCGGACGCAGGUUCGAUUCCUGUCAUCGGCUCCCA